rnacentral:tRNA from 1 species
AGUAAAGUCAGCUAAUGUCAAGCUUU